rfam:Phenylobacterium zucineum isolate lbmp16 W1S__single__contig_4003, whole genome shotgun sequence.
AACAUAGUAUAAAAUUGUAAUAAAAGGAUGCCUUGAAUUUUAAAGUAAAGAGUUGUGUAAUGCAAAAAUAAGAUAUGAAUUUUUGAAAUCUUAUUACUAAGAAUAAAUUUUGUUUUUAGACAAGAAUAGUAGAGUGAAGUAAAACAUUUUAGUAACUUUUAUAAAAUCAAACGAGUUACCGUUAGUAGUGGCGAGCGAAUAUGGUUUUAAGUUCAAAACUUUGUUUGUAAAAGAAAAAUCCAAAGGAGGUUUUAGUCCCGUAUAUUUUACAAUAUCGUUUAGUUAAGCAUUGGAUUAUGUUAAAUUUUAUGCUGUGGGGAUCUACCCUCAAACUUAAAAACCUUUAAAAUAUCUAUAGUGAAAAGUACCGUAAGGGAAAGGUGAAAAAGAACUUAUUUAAGAGUUAAAAGAACCUAAAAUUUAUUGCAAAUUUCUGUUGGAGCUAUUAAGUAACAGCGUACCUUUUGCAUAAUGGACCAGUGAGUUUGUAUUUUAAGCAAGCUUAAUUUAAAAAUAGGCGUAGUUAAAUCAAGGCUUAAAAACCGUAUAAGUUUAAAGUACAAGACCCGAAGCUGAGUGAUUUAACCAUGAACAGGCUGAAAAUUUUAUGGCAACAUUAAUUGAAGGGCCGAACUCUUGUCUGUAGAAAAAGAUUGAGAUGAUUUGUGGUUAGGGGUGAAAGGCUAAUCAAACUCAGGUAUAGCUGGUUUUCUGCGAAAUAUAUUUAAGUAUAGCUUAUAAAUAAAUUAAAUAGGGUAAAGCACUAUAAAAGUAAAGGGAAUUUUUAAUUUUACUGAUCUUUUUUAAACUAAGAAUAUGUUUAAUUAUUUUUAUAAAGUCAGACUAUAAGCGCGAAGGUUUAUAGUCAAAAGGGAAACAGCCCAGAUUAUUUAAUAAGGCCUUUAAUUUAAUAUUAAGUGAAAAGAUUGUGAAAUUAACUUUGACAAUUUUAAAGUGGGCUUGGAAGCAGCCAUCUUUUAAAGAAAGCGUAACAGCUUAUUAAUCUAGUUUUUUGCGUCGAUAAUUUAUAGAGACUAAAUAUUAAGCCGAAUUAGUAGAAAUUGGUAGCAGAACGUUUUGUAAACCGUUGAAGAAUAUUUGUCAAAAUAUUUGGAGGUAUCAAAAGUGAGUAUACUGGUAUGAGUAGCUAAAAACAAUGUAUAAUCAUUGUCACCGUAAAUCUAAAGUUUUCGAUUAAACAAUAAAUGAAAUCGAGUAAACGAUCCCUAAGAAAAAUUGCAAAUGCAUAAUUUGAUGGGAAAUUAAUUAUUAAUUUAGUGACAGUAAAAAAUAAUAUUUAAUUCUUUAUUAGUUUAGUUUUAAUAAAAUUUUUUACUCAGGAAAAAGCUGUUAAUAAAUUAUCGUACUUUAAACCGACACAGGUAGAUAAGUAGAAAAUACUAAGGUGUUCAAGAUAAUUGUGUUGAAGGAACUCGGCAAAAUUGCUCUGUAACUUAGGGAUAAAGAGUGACUAUUUUUAUAGUUAACAUUAAAGAGGAAGAAGCGACUGUUUAUUAAAA